GGCUAUAGCUCAGCGGUACAGUGCUUGCCUAGCAUGUGUGAGGCCCUGGGUUCGAUCCUCAGCACCA
rnacentral:tRNA from 1 species